AGUGAACGCUGGCGGUAGGCCUAACACAUGCAAGUCGAACGGCCUCACAGUAAGUGCUUGCUCUUACGGGUGGCGAGUGGCGGACGGUUGCGGAUUACAUCGGAAUCUACUUUUUCGUUGGUGAUAACGUCGGGAAACUUACGCUAAUACCGCAUACGACCUACUUGUGAAAGCAGGCGAUCUUCUGACCUUGCGCGAUUGUAUGAGCCGAUGUCGGAUUAGCUCGUUGGCGGGGUAAAGGCCCACCAAGGCGACGCUCCGUAGCUGGUCUGAGAGGAUGAUCAGCCACACUGGAAGUGAGAAACGGUCCAGACUCCUACGGGAGGCAGCAGUGGGGAAUAUUGGACAAUGGGCGCAAGCCUGAUCCAGCCAUACCGCGUAGGUGAAGAAGGACUUCGGGUUGUAGAACCAUUUUGUUGGGAAAGAAAAGAAGCAGGUUAAUACCCCGCUGUUCUGACGGUACCCAAAGAAUAAGCACCGGCUAACUUCGUG
rnacentral:rRNA from 1 species